GCACCACUGAGCUAAAUCCUGGCCCCUUUUAUUUUUUUUGAGACAGGGACUUGCUAUGUGGCUCAGGCUGGCCUUGAACUCAUAUGUAGCCCAGGCUGGACUCAAACUCUUGGCAAUCCUCCUGCACCAGCCUCCCAGGGUUGGGAGCACAGGUGUGGCACCAUGUAGCUAAAUCGCCAGCCCUGGAGUUUUCAGUGACACAAAGCCUGCUGCUGUGAGUGCCAUAGGUUCACCACCACUGGCCUAGUGAAUGCUAGGUAAGUGUUCUGCCAUUGGGCUAUCCGCCAUCCUACCCUUUAGUUUGUGUUUUGAGAGUUUCACUGGUGGCCCAGGCAGGCGAUCCUCCUGCCUCCGGAGUGCUGUGGGAUUACAGGCCUGUGCCCCGUGCCCCUGUGCCCCUGGGCCCAGCUCCCCAUCCUCUCUUCAGAAGUUCAGAAUGAGUUUAAAAACUAUUUUGUCAACUUUUUAUUUUCUCUAGCAUAUACUUAUGAAAACUUGACAACUUUUCCAAACUCUUUGAAACCUGUCUUUCUUUUUCUUUUUUUUUUUGGUACCGGGGAUUGAACGAGGGUCCUUGUGCCUGCUGGCAGCGAAACCACUGAGCUAAAUCCCUGGCUCACCUUUCUUCUAUCAGUGAUAUUUCCUUCCCUGGGAAGCAUCCCUGGGAUCCUGACAUCUUAGGAGGCUUCCUCACAUUCCUGGUUGAGUUAGGUCUGUGACUCAUCCUUUCUAUCACACUGCGUUGCACUUUACGGGUUUCUUGUCUGUCUCUUUCCUUCAUGUCUAUCAGCUCUUUAAGGAC
rnacentral:lncRNA from 1 species